rnacentral:rRNA from 1 species
GCAUAUCAAUAAGCGGAGGAAAAGAAACUAACAAGGAUUCCCCUAGUAACUGCGAGUGAAGCGGGAAAAGCUCAAAUUUAAAAUCUGGCGGCCUCUGGUCGUCCGAGUUGUAAUUUAGAGAAGCGUCUUCCGCGCUGGACCGUGCACAAGUCUCCUGGAAUGGAGCGUCAUAGAGGGUGAGAAUCCCGUCUUUGGCACGGAUGUACCAGGGCUUUCGUGAUGCGCUCUCGAAGAGUCGAGUUGUUUGGGAAUGCAGCUCAAAAUGGGUGGUGAACUCCAUCUAAAGCUAAAUAUUGGCGAGAGACCGAUAGCGAACAAGUACCGUGAGGGAAAGAUGAAAAGCACUUUGGAAAGAGAGUGAAACAGUACGUGAAAUUGUUGAAAGGGAAACGCUUGAAGUCAGUCGCGUCGACCGAGACUCAGCCUUGCCUCGGCUCGGUGUACUUCUCGGCCGACGGGUCAGCAUCAAUUUUGCCCCUCGGAUAAUGGCGAGAGAAAGGUGGCACCCUCACGGGUGUGUUAUAGUCUCCCGUCGGAUGCGAGGGUCGGGAUUGAGGAACUCGGCACGUACCGUGCUUAGGAUGUUGGCAUAAUGGCUUUAAACGACCCGUCUUGAAACA